AAUAAUUCAGAACUGGCAUCUUCCUGAAAGAUUCAAAGCAUGUAACCAUCGACUUUUCUUUAAUUUCUGCCCAGCUUUGAGAAAGGGAACAACCUAUGAAGAGGAAAUUAAUAAUAUUAAACAUAUUACUUCAAAAAUUAAUGCAAUUCUGGCUCAUAAUUCACCAGUUUUGAUUGUUCAAAGAUGGAUACGUGGUUUCUUAGUUAGAAAAAAUUUGAGGUAUGUUUUGUUUUCUUUACCAUUUGAAUAUUGAAAUAAGAAGGUGAAGAAAUAAAUGAUAAGAAGUCAA
rnacentral:ncRNA from 2 species